rnacentral:rRNA from 1 species
ACUAUUGUAAGCUAUAUAUUGUUAGUAUAUAAUAAUUAUGAAAACAAAAAAUUGUGGCGGUAUUUUAAGCUCUUCAGAGGAAUUUGCUCUUUAAUGGAUAAAACGCCAAAUUCUUACUAAAAUUAGCAAAACAGUUUGUAUACCACUAUGAAAGUAAUAAGUUAUUAUUAUUACUUAAAAUUAAGUAUAAUUUAAAAUAAAUUAAGUCAAGGUGCAGCAUAAAUUUUAGAAUGAAGUGAAUUACAUUUCUUUUAAGAGAAUAAAAUAUGAAAUUUAUUUUAGGAUUUGAAAGUAAAGUUUUAAUAAAAUGAAGACUUGAACUGAGCACUAAAAUAUGUAC